UUUAUCCAUGUAAUCGUUUCAAUUCAAAUGAUAUAAAUGAAAGUUCCCAUUCCUGUCAAUGUUUAACUUCAUCUAUAUUCAUAUAUUUCGUUACUACUUGAACAGACAUGCUUCGGGCACUAUCCGAUCAAGAGCUUCGGAAAAACUCCAUGAUCGAGAUAAGUCCCGAGCAUAACUGACCAAGAGUUUAAUAAAUGCUUAAAGUACAGAUCUCGAGCACUAUCCGAUCAAGAGGUUCGGGCAGACACCACUGAUCGAGAUAAGUCUCGGGUAUAACUGUUGACCCUCUAAAAUCAGAUAAACCCUAAGGACGAUCCGACCAGGAGGUUCGGGUGGACAUAACUGAUCGAGAUCAGUCAUAAGUGAAACUGACAAUAAGCAUUCAUGGGCAAAGAGUAUAUCAUAUUUAUACUUAGAAAAUUUCUACUUUACAAACCCGGUCGCUUACGAUUCGGGCUAAGUACAAAAAAAAAAAAAAAAAAAGAAGGAAAAUUUUCUUUAUUACAAAUCCUACAUAUCUACUCGGCAGGAGGGUCAUCUUCAGCGUCAGACUCGUCAUCCGAAGAGUCAAGGAGGGAGACAUCAAGCCCAACAGCCAUCAACUUUGCUUUAGCUUUUUCCCGAUGAGUCUCAUACCCUUCACCAAAUUGGGCUAUGACCUUAUCGUUCAAGGCUUCAGAUUCCUCAUACUCGGCGAUGGCUUGCUGUCUGGCUUCGAUUAUCUUCUCGGAGAAGGCGUUGACAGUAGCAGUCA
rnacentral:lncRNA from 1 species